rnacentral:rRNA from 1 species
CUGCGUAACGCGUUGUGGAAUCUGCCCUUGGGUUCGGAAUAACAGUGAGAAAUUACUGCUAAUACCGAAUGAUGACGUAAGUCCAAAGAUUUAUCGCCCAAGGAUGAGCCCGCGUAGGAUUAGCUAGUUGGUGAGGUAAAAGCUCACCAAGGCGACGAUCCUUAGCUGGUCUGAGAGGAUGAUCAGCCACACUGGGACUGAGACACGGCCCAGACUCCUACGGGAGGCAGCAGUGGGGAAUAUUGGACAAUGGGCGAAAGCCUGAUCCAGCAAUGCCGCGUGAGUGAUGAAGGCCUUAGGGUUGUAAAGCUCUUUUACCCGGGAUGAUAAUGACAGUACCGGGAGAAUAAGCUCCGGCUAACUCCGUGCCAGCAGCCGCGGUAAUACGGAGGGAGCUAGCGUUAUUCGGAAUUACUGGGCGUAAAGCGCACGUAGGCGGCUUUGUAAGUUAGAGGUGAAAGCCUGGAGCUCAACUCCAGAACUGCCUUUAAGACUGCAUCGCUUGAAUCCAGGAGAGGUGAGUGGAAUUCCGAGUGUAGAG